AACGGAGGGCGCAAGCGUUGUUCGGAAUUACUGGGCGUAAAGUGCGCGCAGGCGGGUCGGGAAGUCGGCGGUGAAAGUCCAGGGCUCAACCCUGGAAUGGCCUCCGAAACUCCCGUCCUAGGGAUCGGUAGAGGUCGGUGGAAUUCCCGGAGUAGCGGUGGAAUGCGUAGAGAUCGGGAAGAACACCCGUGGCGAAGGCGACCGACUGGGCCGAAUCCGACGCUGAGGCGCGAAAGCGUGGGGAGCAAACAGG
rnacentral:misc_RNA from 1 species